GAUGAACGCUGGCGGCGUGCCUAAUACAUGCAAGUCGAGCGAACAGACGAGGAGCUUGCUCCUCUGACGUUAGCGGCGGGCGGGUGAGUAACACGUGGAUAACCUACCUAUAAGACUGGGAUAACUUCGGGAAACCGGAGCUAAUACCGGAUAAUAUAUUGAACCGCAUGGUUCAAUAGUGAAAGACGGUUUUGCUGUCACUUAUAGAUGGAUCCGCGCCGCAUUAGCUAGUUGGUAAGGUAACGGCUUACCAAGGCAACGAUGCGUAGCCGACCUGAGAGAGUGGUCGACCGCACUGGAGCUGAGACACGGUCCAGACUCCUACGGGAGGCAGCAGUAGGGUAUCUGCCGCAGUGGGGGAGAACCUGACGGAGCAACGGCGCGUGAGUGAUGAAAGUCUUCGGAUCGUAAAGCUCUGUUAUUAGGGAAAAACAAAUUUGUAAGUAACUGUGCACGUCUUGACGGUACCUAGUCAGAAAGCCACGGCUAACUACGUG
rnacentral:rRNA from 1 species